rnacentral:lncRNA from 10 species
GGCCCGGCUCUUCCCCGCUGCAAAUGGUGCAAACUUGUGUGGCUCCAGCCAGGUGUGGAGUCUAAGAAGUCCAAGGUUGAGGAGCUGCAUCUGAUGAGAGCCUUCUUGCUGGUUGGGAUCCUCUGCAGAGUCUUGAGUUGGGCAUUAAAAACUGUAUCACAGACACAUGAAUAUUGUAGGCCUCAUCUCCAAGUAUUACCACACUGAGGGUCAAGACUUCAACAUAUGGUGGAGAGCAGGAGAAGUCCGAAGAACUAAGUUCAAAACUUUUGAAAAUGUAGAGUUCUCAAGAGUUUGAGAGAGCCUUACUGGGAGAAUGCAGCCGGGCUGGGCAGAAUGCAGCCGGGCUGGGCAGAAUGCAAUCCCCAGCAAACUUGUGGUGCUGACAUAAAGAAGCGUCUCAAAAUGCUCAACUCAAACCUCUGAAGCAUGGAAGGAAACCUAUCAAGCUCUCUGUCAAAACUCCAUAAAGAUCCAGAAUAAAUAAAGAAUGCUUACAAUUCAACAAUGUAAAGACAAAUAACAAAUAAGUGGGCGAAUGAUUUCAAUAGACUUUUCCCAAAAAAAGUUGCAUGACAAAGAAUAAGCUCGUGAAAGGGUGCUCAACAUUGUUAAUCAUUAGGGAGACGCAAUGCAAAAACAGAAAGAUGGAUGGAAACUUUUCACCCACUAAAAUGCAUGCAACAAAAAAGACAGAUAACAGGUAUAAUGAUGUAGAAAAACUGGAACCUUAUGUUACUGGUGGGAAUGUAAAGUGGUACAGAGGCUUUGGAAAAUAAUCUGGCAGUUCCUCAAAUGAUAUAACAUAGAAGACAGCAAUUCUACACCUAGAUAUGUACCCAAGAAAAAUGAAAACAUUUCUAAACAAAGAUGCGUACGUGGAUAUUGAUAGCUACAUUAUUCCUUAUGGCCCAAAGUGGCAACAAUCUAAAUGCCCAUCAACUGAUGAAUGAAUAAAGAAAAUGUGUUAUAUCUAUACAAUGGAAUAUAAAGAAAUGAAGUACUGUUCCAUGCUACUACACAGAUGAUCCCUGAAAACAUUAUGUAAAAUAAAAGCCAGU